rnacentral:rRNA from 1 species
AGAAUCAACGCUGGCGGCGUGCCUAACACAUGCAAGUCGAACGAGAAAGUGGAGCAAUCCAUGAGUAAAGUGGCGACCGGGUGAGUAACACGUGACUAACCUACCUUUGAGUGGGGGAUAACAUCGGGAAACCGAUGCUAAUACCGCAUAACAUCGCAAGAUCAAAGCAGCAAUGCGCUUAAAGAGGGGGUCGCGGCUGAUUAGCUAGUUGGCGGGGUAACGCCCACCAAGGCGAAGAUCGGUA